GGCAUAGAUGGACCACAGCUACAACUUGAGUUGCAUGAGGCCUGCUUCUCAAGUCUCAAUCAUUGCAAGUUGACCUGCUUCCAAGUGGGUGGUAUAAAAAAAAUUCGCUUCACUUCUAUCCUGACCGAAGACUUACCCCUCGUGUCACCAUCUUCCUCCUCUUUCCUUUGCCCAGCCCGACCUCACCUUCUAACCCUGCUGAUCCAACCCCUGCAUCAUUGUCUCCCUUUGGUGGCCCACUCAGCCUCACCUCCUAACCCUGUUUGUGCCACCUCCUAUGUCACCGUAUCCCUCAUCUUUAGUUCCCCACUCAACCUUGCCUUCUAACCUUGCCAGCCCUACACCCACAUCAUCAUCUCCCUCCUAUUUGGUGGCCCACUGAAAAUGAUAGGAGAAAUGCAUCAUUUAGGCAGAGGCCUCAAAUCAGUUCACAAGAAUUAAAGAUCUAGUGCAAUAUCUAGUGUGACUUGCGAGAAUGCCGGGUGAGAUCUGUUGCGAGAAUGUCAGUGGGAGGCAAACUCACUGCAGGCUGAGAUCUGAUGCGAGAACAUGCAAGGUGAGGAACACUUAUUGUCUGAUCCUCUCAUAGCACUGGGAGGAUUACAAGUGAUGGCGCAUAUCCAAUCAGGAGAAUGAUCUGAUGGUGGAGAUUUCAGCCCUCAACCCCAACCUUCUCCUGCCUCCCAGGACUACCCCCACCUUGAUCUUACCUCUUGCUCUCGUUCACCAUCCAAACAGGUGAAUUGAUCAUGUUUCAACUCAAGCUAUACACAACUUGAGCUGCAGGUUAAGUUGACUUAAAGGGCUCCAAACAGCCCCUUAAUAUUAUGCACAGUCCAGAGACUCCUUAAAUUCUGUAAGAUGCUUCGGAGGCAACUCAAGUCUUCAUGAUACAGCUUAGAGACACCUCAAGUUCUCACAAGAUAGUUUGGAGACACGUCAAGUCUUCGGUAUACAGUUGGAGAUGCCUGAAGUCUUCAUCAGACAAACUAAGGACACCUUGCAUCCCUUGCCUCAUUAAACAUGGGGAUCUAGCAAUUUGGAUAUGGAAGGUGUUGCUAUUGGCAUCUGACCUGACGUUGGAGCUGACAGAUCUGGAAUGGCUAGAGCUUUAUUUGGCACUGGAUGGGAGAGAACUUGUAAAUCAAGUCUCUGAUCGGAGUUGUUUCCGGUGGAGAUCCUCCGAUGCCCAAGUCAGUCAAUAAAGAGCAGUGGAAGUGAUGAAGAAAGUUUGUCCUAAGGGCUUACCUAGAGGUCUGCUAUUUUUCCCUAUUUAUAGGUGGGGUGGCUGGCCAUUUUUGAAAAUAUGGAUGGGAGUGGGAGAGAAUUAUGCUGCUUCUACCUUAUCCAGUUGAGGUGAGUUGUUAUCUUCAUUUUGGAGUAUAUCUGGAAUAUGGACUAGAUAAGGCAACUACUCGAUGCAUAACUACUGCCACGAAUGUCGGCUUACCUCGGCUCGGGAUGGUCUGAGCCGACCAGGCCGUUAUAUAUCCGAGGUUAAGAUAAUGUCAGACUUAGUCGAGGUAAGCUAUCAUCUCAUAACAGAUAUCCUUCACUCUCGAGUUCAAACUACUGGUAGAUCGGGCGAGGAGAGUAAAAGCAUGAGACGAAGUGGCAGUUAUUUCGACUCAAUUCAUGUCAUGCUUAUUAAUGCUUGGACACAUGGUACCUUGGGUGCAGUGGUGGGGAUUUGUCGAACUAGGCUUAGUCAAUCUCGAGCUGGCACAUGGCGAGCAUCCAACGGCUCAACCAGAGCUGGCUUCGAAUUUGCGAGUUCCUACCAUUUAUAAAUAGUGGCUUGUCUCAUUCGACCCUACUUCCUUUUGGCUGUUGCUAGGGUUUGGCUAUUUUUGGUGAAGGCUCGGCUAUUCUUUGGUGCGUCUCUAAUGAUUUAAGGUGAGAGCUCUGAUCAAUGAUAUGAGGUUAGCCCUACUUCGGAUCGGCCCCAUACUCUUCUUUUUUCGCUUUUUCUUUUCUAGUUUUCCAAAACUGUUUUUUAAAACUUUUUGUCGAGAUGAGCGGUAGUCUUAGCUUGGUCGGGAGCUGGUCCACCAAUUAGGAACCACCUCGGAGCUAGGAGAUGAAGUCUUCGGCCUCAGGCACUUUUAGUCUGUUCUCGGCCUUGAGGACUUGGAGCUGAUCUGAGCUCAGUUCCAAAUCCCAGUCGACCAUCGGCUAGAAGCUGCAAGCUCAAGCGAUAGGAUUUGCAAUUCACCGUGAGGUCUGUUCAGUCUCUACAAAGAGAUUCUUAGAGCCAGCCUGAGGUUACCCCUUCAUCCCUUCUUUAUUCAUCUUUUUCGUUCUCUUGAAAUCACCCCCAACUUGGUGGUGCUGAACUCGUGGCGAUUCAUUAUGGGCUUCAUUGCCCACUGCUUUUUUGGUCAGCAUUCGACCUAUCCUUCUCUUCCAAAUCUUCUUUUAAGAGGCAUCCAACAGAGCGGGACUGGUGUUAUCUUUCACUUCGGAGAGGGUAUGGCUUGAUCCGAGGCACUUCUUCCUUCGUCCAUGGGUUGAAGGAGAGAUUUUUCUGUUUGUUUCGAGGACUGUGGCUUUACCUUAUAGGGCCAACCUCGGAAGGUGGUUCGUGCCUCAUUGUUGGGCGAUGCUAAGCGUCGAGACUUGAACACUCUACUCGAGUAAAAGGUUCUUCCCCUGAAGGAGCUACUGUUCGAGCCGACCUUGUACGACGUCGGUCUUAGAUAGGUCGACCCAUGAGGUAAUUGCUUUCGUUUCAUCCGAUUUCUCUUUUAUGAUUUCUGUUAUUAUCAUCUGUUUUGACAUGUUUGCCUCGAGCCUUUGUAGGGAUGAGGAUCAAGGAAUUAGAGAGGUUGUGCAGGGCGGUGCGGAAGAAGAGGGUUGCAGUUGCAGUCGAGUCAUCUAAGCGCCCCCAUGCUGAAGUUUUGGCUGCUCGGGCCUAUUGGAGCCUAGUCGGAGCCCCUCUUUGGAGAUCCGUGAGGCCCCUUCUGUUGACCUCGAGGUGAUGGUGGUCAACUUGGUGAAGGUUCUCCCUCUUGGGGCAGCACUCCCACCCCGAUCCGAUACUUUCUUAGCCCCCCCAAGAUGAGGGGGCCUCCUAAUCAGCUCCCAUGCCUCCAGUUCGACAAUGGCCAUAGCCUCUAUUGAGGUCGAGCAGGGGUUGUGUAUUAGCACAGUUCAGCCUUUGUCAGACUCCAUGUUGGGGAGCUGGCGAGUAGGUCGGGAUCUCAUCUGUGGGAUCCUUCCAGCCUACGACUCUAUCCGGAUGACUUGCCCAUUAUCUAGAGCACUUUCUGAAUGUUGUUAAGGCAGCGAGAUUGGAGAUGGCCAAGGUCCAAAAGAAGGUGGAUGCGAUCGAGGAAAGGGCCCUUGAAGUGGAGAGGGUUAAGAAGAAGGUUCACAUCAUCUUGAUCGAAGUAGUGGUAGAGGUUGGGCGCUUGAGGCAGGCACUAAAGCAGUUGGAGGAGAAACUCGCGGCUGUUGAAGCGAAAGUGGUCGAGGUAGCCAAGGUGAUCAAGCCGGCUCAGAAGGCUAUGGAAAACUUUCGAGCUUCAAAGGAGUUUGUGGAUGAGAAGGCCAAGUUCGCUGUGAAGUCCUACAUGGUCGGCAUUUGGAAGUGCUGAGCUAAGGUCGCUGGUUGUUAACUCGAUCUGGAUCUUUUCUUUUUAUCUAAUGACGACAAUGACGUCUGGUUGAACCUCCUCCCUGACCCAAGCUUCGAAGAGUACCAGAUCUUCGGGUUCCCCUUGUCGGAGGCUGCUGUUGUCGAGGAGGCGGCAUGUUAGGUCAAUGAAGCUGCUGGUUGAGCUGAAGAAGGCACCCUCCAGUCGAAGCAUAGGUUUUUUUCUUUUCUUUUUGUAAUCUUGGUUUGGUUUUCCGAACUUGUUUUGCAGUCGGCUUGUCCGACCCAUCCUGUAAAUAUUUUAAAUAUUUGAAUGUAAGUACUUUUCCUCGAAAAGUAGCUUUAUUUGUCGAA